AGAACAUCAACAGCAAACCCGUAUUCCUAAGACUAUGGAAGAAACAACCCACUCUACUUUGAAGAGUUCACUACAACCACGAGGAAGUGAGGCGGAUGCUGCCACGGGAUGACGCACAAUUUUAUGUUCCAAACAAGACGACUGAGAGGCACGUGGAAAUCCCCCCUUUGUGGUUGACUUGAAUUCCAGUCCAGGGUUUGACUGAACCAGCCUCGGGAAAUCUGAGACUGGCAUCUCAAAGCCUGCAUGAAUUAAAAUGCAUGGCUGGAUAGCAACAGAGGUCAUCAAGAGAUGUAUGCUGCUUUUGUAAUUUGGGUGAACUGAUACUUCAGUAUCAGUACCCUACGUGUGGCUGCCAAACACAACAUUAGGCCAUUAGGGAAAUAUUGCCCUUUUCUCUAAUCCAGCAGUCACACGAUAUGGGACAGGAAAGUCAUGACAGUUUGUUUUCAGUCAUAGACGCUUCCAUCUGAGGACGAUCUCUUCUGUGUGUGCGCUCUAAGGAGAACAGGUGUGUUUUGUUUGUGUUUGUCCCUUCUAUGAAGAAUGUAUGAGUGAGGCACAGGAUGUGCAGUUUGUGCAGUAUUAAACCAGCUUGUUCAGCCACCUGCCUUAUUAA